CACAAAGUCAAGCACAGCGGUUGGACAGAAUUUGCGAAGGUAUCCUCCCCCAGAUCAUGAACGGCCCCCUGCACCCCCGCCCCUUGGUGGCCCUGCUGGAUGGCAAAGACUGCACUGUAGAGAUGCCCAUCCUAAGGCACCUAGCCACAGUGGCCGUCUGUGACGCACAGUCUACGCAGGAAAUCCACGAGAAGGUUCUGAACGAGGCUGUGGACGCCAUGAUGUACCACACCAUCACCCUCACCAGAGAAGACCUGGAGAAGUUCACGGCCCCCUGAGGGUGAUCGUGCGGGUCAGCAGCGGCUACGACAAUGUGGGCAUCAAGGCUGCUGGCGAGCUUGGGAUUGCCGUGUGCAACAUCCCAUCGGCAGCCGUGGAGGAGAUGGCCAAUUCCACCAUCUGCCACAUGCUCAACCUGUACUGGUGGAACACGUGGCUCUACCAGGCGCUGUGGGAGGGCACGCGGGUGCAGAGUGUGGAGCAGAUUCGGGAGGUGGCCUCCGGGGCGGCCCGCAUCUGUGGGGAGACAUUAGGUCUCAUUGGCUUCGGUUGCACGGGGCAGGCAGUUGCCGUUCAAGCCAAGGCCUUUGGAUUCAGUGUCAUAUUGUAUGACCCCUACUUGCAGGAUGGGAUAGAGUAGCCCCUGGGUUUGCAGAGGGUCUACACCCUGCAGGACCUGCUGUACCAGAGCAACUGUGUCUCCUUGCACUGCAAUCUCAACGAGCAUAACCAUCACCUCAUCAAUGAACUUUACCAUAAAGCAGAUGAGGCAAGGAGCCUUCCUGGUGAAUGCAGCCCGUCUACCGUGUUGGUAGACGAGAAGGCCUUAGCCCAGGCCCUCAAGGAAGGCCAUAUACGAGAGGAGGCCCUCUAGGUGCACUAGUCGGAGCCCUUCAGCUUUGCUCAGGGUCCACUCAAAGAUGCCCCGAACUUCAUCUGCACCCCACACAUGGCCUGGUACAGCGAGCAAGCCUCCCUGGAGGUGAGGGAGGCCGCGGCCAAGGAGAUCCGCCCUGCCAUCACAGGUCGCAUUCCAGAAAGCUUAAGAAACUGUGUCAACAAGGAGUUCUUUGUUACAUCGGCGGCUCCGUGGUCAGUAAUAGAUCAGCAAGCUAUUCAUCCCGAGCUCAAUGGCGCGACGUGCAGAUACCCCACCAGGCCUCAUGGGCGUGGUCCCAGUGGGGCUUCCAGCAACCGUGGAAGGGAUCCUUUUGGGGGGCAUGCCCUGGACUCCGAGCCUCCCCACUGUGGCCCACCCCUCCCAAGCUCCUUCACCCACCCAGCCCACAAAACAUGGGGACAAUCGAGAGCACCCCAAUGAGCAAUAGCAGCCAAUGCAGGACGGUGGAACAUUUGGACAUACUUGGGACCAAGAGACCGUGAAAGCAAAGGAAUUGUCUGAACCUGGACAUAGGCAUCAUUGAUGUUGCAGUAGCUCUCUGUUAAAACAACGAGAGCUAGAAAACGGA